rnacentral:rRNA from 1 species
AUGGGGUGGUUCCGAGAGGCAUGGCUCUACAUUCGCGGCGAUAUAUUACUUCUUCAUAGCUUUGGGAUCAAAUUUGUUCUUAUUCCUGGAAUCCAUGUCGAGAUAGAUAAGCUCUUGGCGGAGAGAGGAAAGAAGGCUAAGUAUGUUGGUCACUACUGUAUCACCGAUUCAGAUGCAUUAGAGGCUGCAAUGGAGGCAGUGGGCAGAAUACGACUAAGUAUGGAAGCAAAGCUAUCUUCUGGACCCCCAAUGUUAAAUCUUCAACGACAUGGUGUUAAUUGCAGUUGGCAUGAAAAGACUAAUAAUGUUGCAAGUGGAAAUUUUCUUGGUGCUAAGGUGAGGGGUGGUAUUGAUUAUGGUUUCACUGGCGAAGUUAAGAAAAUUGAUGUUUCACGAAUAAGAGAGAGGCUUGAUAGAGAUAGCAUAGUCAUUGUCAGCAAUAUGGGAUACUCCAGCGUAGGAGAGGUCUUAAAUUGCAAUACCUAUGAAGUUGCUAUGGCAUGUGCUUUAACCAUAGAGGCAGAUAAACGUAUUUGUAUUGUUGAUGGACAAAUAUCUGAUGAGCAUGGUCGUGGUAUUCAUUUCAUGUCUGCCAAGGAAGCAAACAUGUUAAUCAGAGCACGUAUUGUGCAGAGUGAGAUUUCUGCAAAUCAUGUGAAGGUUGUGGGCGAGAAGAUAUUAGAACUAGGUUUGAAUGGAUUAGACCAUUUUAAUAGGUUUACUGCAUCUUUCCGGAACGGUGUGGGUUUCAAUAAUGGAAAUGGUUUGUCUGGCAAGCAAGGGUUUACCAUUGUGCAUAUCAUAGAUGGUACUGUUGGUGGAUCAUUGUUAUUAGAAUUAUUCACAAUAGACAAUGUGGAAACAAUGAUAGCUAGGAACAAGAUGGCUAGAGAGGAAGAUCUUCCUGGUACUGAAAAAUUCAUUCGUCCCCUUGAUGAAUCUGGUGUCGUGGCGCGACGAACAGAUAAAGAGGUUAUUAUUUAUUUUGUUUUCCGUUACCUUGUGGAAGCAUUGGCUUCGUUUGCUGUUGUGGAGAGAGACCAAUUAAUCAUAGCAUGUGUUGCUCUGUUUCUUUUUCCGGAGGAGAAAUCCGGUGAACUUGCAGCUCUUGUUGUAUCUGAAGAGUGUCGAGGACAGGGUCAAGGAGACAACCUACUUGUUGACAAUUUCCAUAGGUUUGUUCGGCGUGGCUUUAAUGAGUGUUCAAUCGAGUCCCUAGCUGUGGAGAGGCGAAAAUAG